UUAAGAUUAUCCCAAAAAGGGGCACGUGGCCUUGUUUUCUCCUUGGUUUGGUUUUCUUUUUUUUUCUUUUUUUUCUUCAUUGGGCCAAUCUUUCCAAAGCUUUGCAAAAUCUCAUGGUUCGGCCUAUACGGUACACACACGUUCCAACACGUCAUUGUAGGGUUUGGGGUUGUACCCAAUGAGGUAUUGCCAUGUCAUUACGUGUAGAGCUUG
rnacentral:lncRNA from 1 species